GGUCAUUGUGGUUUUUGUUGGGUAUUUGGUACUGUAGAGUCAUUAUCAGAUCGCUUUUGCAUUCAUUUUGAUGUGGAUGAUGGUUCUAGAGCUCAUAACAGGGAGAAUGAUGAUCUCGGCGAUGCAAUGUCAUGAUCUUCAGCAGAAGAUUUAAAGCGACCAAAUGGAUGAGGAACUGGAUAUUUCUCCUGCUGAGAUCGAUGAGGAAUUGGUGAUUGAAGAUGAUGACAUCUUUGAUGACGAAGAUGAUGACCAUGAAGAUCUACUCAAGAAGAACGAUGGUUCUUUACAAAAGAUUCUUCAGGAAUCUUUGAAAAAGUGUUUUCAGGAUUUAUAAGGAAUGAAUGGUUUAGAGAAUAGAAAAGAAGCAUGCAAAAGUGAAAGGAACACAAGAAAUCAAGUAUUUAAGAAGCUGGCAGCAACGCGUACGCAUGGGUGACGCGUACGCGUGACUGGUGCAGCA